rnacentral:lncRNA from 1 species
AAUUAAGAGCCAAUUGUAUUCAAUAUUCUUUAUAUUAAAUUCUGAGUUCAAGCAUUGUUCGACUUGAUUGAUCCAAUAAUGAAUAGGUUUUAUUCAAAGGAAGCUUUCAAGGUUGCACAAAUGAAAAUGUCUCAGUGAUGAGAAAGGUUGCAGUGGUGCAAAUUAAAGGGGGCAGAGGUUUUCAUCGUAGUGGAAAGCUUUAUUUGAACAGAGA